rnacentral:rRNA from 1 species
CCUACGGGGUGCAGCAGUGAGGAAUAUUGGUCAAUGGACGAGAGUCUGAACCAGCCAAGUAGCGUGAAGGAUGACUGCCCUAUGGGUUGUAAACUUCUUUUAUAUGGGAAUAAAAUGUUCCACGUGUGGGAUUUUGUAUGUACCAUAUGAAUAAGGAUCGGCUAACUCCGUGCCAGCAGCCGCGGUAAUACGGAGGAUCCGAGCGUUAUCCGGAUUUAUUGGGUUUAAAGGGAGCGUAGGUGGAUUGUUAAGUCAGUUGUGAAAGUUUGCGGCUCAACCGUAAAAUUGCAGUUGAAACUGGCAGUCUUGAGUACAGUAGAGGUGGGCGGAAUUCGUGGUGUAGCGGUGAAAUGCUUAGAUAUCACGAAGAACUCUGAUUGCGAAGGCAGUUCACUGGACUGCAACUGACACUGAGGCUCGAAAGUGUGGGUAUCAAACAGGAUUAGAUACCCCAGUAGUC